UUUCCUUGGGGUUUUUGAGAAGCUUUGAGGAGGUGAGACUUCAAGCAAAGGAAAUGAGCCGGUAGAGAAGUAACGCAAGGGUGUUUUAGCUCACCAAGUUUGAGGAUCCCCAGUAUUUACUAUGGUAUGAAGUGGAUGGUUUCCACGGGCUGACCUAGUUAAGAUGGAGUGGAAAACUAUCAAACCGGUUAUGUCAUUUCAGGUGGGAGCGUAGAGCCCUGAUUUGGAUAUUGUUGGGUUGUUCGGAGUCACCACACAGACUUCCAAAUGGCCAAUAGCAAGAGACACGCAUCUUGGUGGCUCCUAACCUAACUGAGGCCACUGUUAGCGAUGGAAGGUUUUUGAGGCUAUUUGUAAUACUAUUGACUAUUUUAAAUUGUUGAUUUAUUUAUUUAUAAAC